rnacentral:lncRNA from 1 species
GAGUUACAUACAUGGAAGCAGUCAGGCUCAGUUUGUUGCAGAAUCACACAUUAUUCUUCUGCUGAACGCUGCUAUCACCAUGGGAAUGGUACUCCUGAAUGAAGCUGCUACCUCCAAAGGGGAUGUUGGAAAAAGAAGAAUAAUAUGUCUGGUAGGCCUGGGCCUGGUUGUCUUUUUCUUCAGUUUCUUGUUGUCGAUAUUUCGCUCCAAAUACCAUGGCUACCC